rnacentral:rRNA from 1 species
AACCUCCGCAAUGUGAGAAAUCGCGACGGGGGGAUCCCAAGUGCCAUUCUUAACGGGAUGGCUUUUCAUUAGUGUAAAGAGCUUUUGGAAUAAGAGCUGGGCAAGACCGGUGCCAGCCGCCGCGGUAACACCGGCAGCUCUAGUGGUAACAAUUUUUAUUGGGCCUAAAGCGUCCGUAGCCGGUUUAAUAAGUCUCUGGUGAAAUCCUGUAGCUUAACUGUGGGAAUUGCUGGAGAUACUAUUAGACUUGAGACCGGGAGAGGUUAGAGGUACUCCCAGGGUAGAGGUGAAAUUCUGUAAUCCUGGGAGGACCGCCUGUUGCGAAGGCGUCUAACUGGAACGGUUCUGACUGUGAGGGACGAAAGUUAGGGGCGCGAACCGGAUUAGAUACCCGGGUAGUCCUAACUGUAAACGAUGCGGACUUGGUGUUGGGGUGGCUUUGAGCUGCUCCAGUGCCGAAGGGAAGCUGUUAAGUCCGCCGCCUGGGAAGUACGGUCGCAAGACUGAAACUUAAAGGAAUU